AAGUCGUAACAAGGUUUCCGUAGGUGAACCUGCGGAAGGAUCAUUAACGAGUUAGGGUCUUCUAGGCCCGACCUCCCAACCCUUUGUUUACUUGACCCAACGUUGCUUCGGCGAGCCCGUCUCUCUCCAGGGACCGCCGGAGGGCCGUAAAACGUCCUCUGGUCCGCGCUCGUCGACGGCCAACCACAAAUUCUUUAACAAACGUGUCCUGUCUAAGUAUACAUUUUUAAAUAAAAGCAAAACUUUCAACAACGGAUCUCUUGGUUCUG
rnacentral:misc_RNA from 1 species